CAAAGGGGAUCUCCCUAAGUUGCUUAGGGCCUUGCUAAAUUGCUGAGUUUGAAUUCAAACUUGCAAUCCUCCUGCUUCAGCCACCCAAGUGGUUAGAAUUACAGUGAAACACAAGUUUCAAAUUGCAUGAUGAACAUAGCCUUCUUUCAAUAUAUCUCAAGGACAGGCAAACAUAUAACCUCAUUUGGGGCUAAUGUCAAAAGUCUAUGUUAUGCUCAAAUUCGGAACCCCCAAAAGACCACCAGAGACCAAGAUCGAUGUAAGCAGCAAAGACGUGUUUAUUGUAAGCUAGCUCGGUCCUCCACACUCACACAGCAACUGGUAACGCUGAGAGGCCCCAAGCCCAGGGUUUGCAGCAGUUUUAUACACACUUUGGGGAAGGCAGGGACUUCACAUACAUCAUAGCAUCUCUUAGCAAAUCAUCACACACCGAGGGAAAAUCAUAAAACAACUCUAAAACAUGAUUAGCACAUUCACUGGUGGGAACAAGUUGGGUAAGGGUGAUUGGUUACUACAAGAGGGGGAUUCAUUUGAACUGAUUGGUUUAAGCCAUGAGGGGAGUAGUGCUGAACUACAUGGUUUCCCAACAUGUUAUCAACCACCAUAAACUACUGGGAGGGUCAUCUGGCAUCCCAGGUAUUUUCCUGGUCUCAUGCUGAUUGGUGGCUGCUAGGGGGUUGCUAUGGGUCCCCACCUAGCCUGACUGAGUCAGGGACACCUGGCUCAGCAGAUCUCUCCUGUUAUUUGUAGAUAAACAAGGGUAUGUGCCUAGGAGUGCUCUGUGGGUCUUUCCAAGGACAAGGGUCACGCCCCCUUCCUUGGACAGGCUUUGCUCUGAGGUAGGGGCUGGUUUUUCAUCUGCCAUACCAGGCAAGGUGGCACAAGCCAGUAAUCCCAGCUGAGGCUGAGGCAGGAGAAUUGCAAGUUGAAGGCCAGUCUCAGCAACUUAGUGAGGCCCUAAGCAAUUUAGCAACACUCUGUCUCAAAAUAAAUAAAAAGGACUAGGGAUGUGGCUCAAUGGUUAAAUGCCCUUGAGUUCAAUUCUUGGUACCAAAAACAAACAAACAAACACAAAAAGUGUCUACUCAUACUCAGGAGGGCUUUCAACAGGAGGACCAGGUCACAAGCUCUCCUGCAGCUCUGGUCCAGCCUCCAGGCUGUCCCUGCAUAUUUUGCUUUCAUAUUUUAAUGCUGAUCUGCCAACUGCACACUGUAUAUCUCUGAAGCUCAAGUUGGGACCUUCAAGCAUGUGCUUUCCCUAUGCUACCUAUUUUCUGUUACUGAGAUUUAUAUUACCUUAUGUUUUGUUUCUGGACCUAAUAGUAACAAAACAGAACCAUGGGCUGGGGAUGUGGCUCAAGCGGUGGCGCGCUCGCCUGGCAUGCGUGCGGCCUGGGUUCAAUCCUCAGCACCACAUACAAACAAAGAUGUUGUGUCUGCCGAAAACUAAAAAAAAUAAAUAUUAAAAAUUGUCUCUCUCUUAAAACAAAACAAACAAACAAACAACAACAAAAAAAAACAGACCCACAUAUAUUGGGAGCCAUGACUCUCCCUCAAAAUCAAAAUCCCUCCCAAGAGUCAGUGACUCUUUUCCAACCCAUCGGGGAAGGAUGAGCUGUUAGGAUCUCUGUGUCUACAGUCUGUUGGAAAAAAGGCCAUCCCCUGGGCCAGUUGCUGCCUGGAAAACUCUCCUCUUAUUCAAAGAUCUUUUCCCUUUUGGUUGCUUCCUGCCUCUUACUGCAAUUGUCUCCCUGGCAGAGGAACCACCUGCCUUGGUUCUCUGGGGACUGAACACAGCCAAUUGACCUCGGGGUUUCUGUUUAACUACAUCAUGCCUGUGUGGAAUGGGUUGUGGUUGAUAGAGGUUAUGUAACUUGCCCAAAGUUUUUCUGCUAGCAAAUCACAAAGCAAUAUCACUAAAAUCCAUUUUUUCACUCCACUGUGCUAGGUAAUUCACUAAAUUUGGGGGUAGUUUGUUAUGCAACAACAGAUAAUCAGAACAUUCCCACAGAACUGAUGCACGGAUCCUACCCAGGAAAAUGCUAAAGUGGCAUUUAGCAAAAAUGUUAAAGUCUGUGGGAUCAAUCCUCUGCUCAAAUGUAUACACAACAAGAAGUUUGGCUGAGUGGCCUAUUCCUUCUGACUUUUACCAAAUAUUUGUACUGAGAGUUGUCAAUUAAAUAAAAAUCUCCCAACUCUCCUAUCUUGUGACUGACCUCUUUUUCUUUCCUUUGUGGAACUAAUGGAAUGUUUUGUUAUUCCUUAUGAAAUUUGUGGUAACUCCAUUAAAAAAAAAGAAAUAUGAUUAACUGAU
rnacentral:lncRNA from 1 species